UACGGGGGGGGCAAGCGUUGUUCGGAAUUACUGGGCGUAAAGGGCUCGUAGGCGGCCAACUAAGUCAUACGUGAAAUCCCUCGGCUUAACCGGGGAACUGCGUCUGAUACUGGAUGGCUUGAGUUCGGGAGAGGGAUGCGGAAUUCCAGGUGUAGCGGUGAAAUGCGUAGAUAUCGAGAGGAACACCUGCGGCGAAGGCGGGUUGCUGGGCUGACACUGACGCUGAUGCGCGAAAGCCAGGGGAGCGAACGGG
rnacentral:rRNA from 1 species